AGCUUAAUUACCAGUGUGAGGUAGCGCAAGGCAGCCAUGAGGUAGCAGCACACCUUUCCCAGCAUUCUGAGGUAAUUAACCAAAAAAUAUUUCCCUGCCACCUGUCUAGCCUUGGAGAAAAUCCAGUUUUCUUUCCAAGCUAUGAGAACAGGGGAUCAUAGCAGAAUUUGGGAAGCAGGAUAGCUUACCUAUGUAUUCUCUGUUCUUCCUAGAAUCAUCUAUAGUGGUUAUUCCAGAAGCUCAGACUGCUGCUUUCUUUCUUUCCCUUCUCCCAGCAUGGUUUCUGCAGCAAAAAAAAAAACCAAAAAAAAACCAAAACAACAACUGUGAAGCAUUAAGGAAUAGACUUCACUGUGCUGUAGGUAACUCAUCUGGAAGCUGCCAUUCUGGAUCAGAAGCCUAUCAGAAAGAGAAGCUUUUGUGUGCAAAGCAAGCAAGAAAAAUGUUUUCCUGUGUUUUAACUGAGC
rnacentral:lncRNA from 1 species